rnacentral:rRNA from 1 species
UGGGGAAUUUUGGACAAUGGGCGAAAGCCUGAUCCAGCAAUGCCGCGUGUGUGAAGAAGGCCUUCGGGUUGUAAAGCACUUUUGUCCGGAAAGAAAUCCUUGGCUCUAAUACAGUCGGGGGAUGACGGUACCGGAAGAAUAAGCACCGGCUAACUACGUGCCAGCAGCCGCGGUAAUACGUAGGGUGCAAGCGUUAAUCGGAAUUACUGGGCGUAAAGCGUGCGCAGGCGGUUUGCUAAGACCGAUGUGAAAUCCCCGGGCUCAACCUGGGAACUGCAUUGGUGACUGGCAGGCUAGAGUAUGGCAGAGGGGGGUAGAAUUCCACGUGUAGCAGUGAAAUGCGUAGAGAUGUGGAGGAAUACCGAUGGCGAAGGCAGCCCUCUGGGCCAAUACUGACGCUCAUGCACGAAAGCGUGGGGGAGCAAACAGGAUUAGAUACCCUGGUAGUCCACGCCCUAAACGAUGUCAACUGUUGUGGGAUUCAUUCCUUAGUAACGUAGCUAACGCGUGAAGUUGACCGCCUGGGGAGUACGGUCGCAAGAUUAAAACUCAAAUGAAUUGACGGGGU